AGUGAACGCUGGCGGUAGGCCUAACACAUGCAAGUCGAACGGCAGCACAGUAAGAGCUUGCUCUUACGGGUGGCGAGUGGCGGACGGGUGAGGAAUACAUCGGAAUCUACUUUUUCGUGGGGGAUAACGUAGGGAAACUUACGCUAAUACCGCAUACGACCUACGGGUGAAAGCAGGGGAUCUUCGGACCUUGCGCGAUUGAAUGAGCCGAUGUCGGAUUAGCUAGUUGGCGGGGUAAAGGCCCACCAAGGCGACGACCCGUAGCUGGUCUGAGAGGAUGAUCAGCCACACUGGAACUGAGACACGGUCCAGACUCCUACGGGAGGCAGCAGUGGGGAAUAUUGGACAAUGGGCGCAAGCCUGAUCCAGCCGUACCGCGUGGGUGAAGAAGGCCUUCGGGUUGUAAAGCCCUUUUGUUGGGAAAGAAAAGCAGCAGGUUAAUACCCCGCUGUUCUGACGGUACCCAAAGAAUAAGCACCGGCUAACUUCGUG
rnacentral:rRNA from 1 species